GGCGAAUGGGUGCGUAACACGUAGGUGACUGCCCUGAAGCGGGGAAUAACAGUUCGAAAGGACUGCUAAUACCGCAUGCGGUGACGGCCUUUUGAAAACCAUCACCAAAGGCGUUCGUAAGAAUGUCACUUCAGGAGGGGCCUGCGGCCCAUCAGCUGGUUGGUAGGGUAAUGGCCUACCAAGGCAACGACGGGUAGGGGACCUCAGAGGGUGACCCCCCACACUGGCACUGACACACGGGCCAGACUCCUACGGGAGGCAGCAGUCGGGAAUAUUGCCCAAUGGCCGAAAGGCUGAGGCAGCAACGCCGCGUGCGCGAUGAAGGCCUUCGGGUCGUAAAGCGCUUUUCGGGUGGAUGAGACAGGACAGUACACCCGGAAUAAGGUACGGCUAACUACGUGCCAGCAGCCGCGG
rnacentral:rRNA from 1 species